rnacentral:rRNA from 1 species
UACGUAGGGUGCGAGCGUUAAUCGGAAUUACUGGGCGUAAAGCGUGCGCAGGCGGUUAUGUUAGGCAGAGGUGAAAUCCCCGUGCUCAACCUGGGAACUGCCUUUGUGACUGCAUGACUAGAGUACGGCAGAGGGGGAUGGAAUUCCGCGUGUAGCAGUGAAAUGCGUAGAUAUGCGGAGGAACACCGAUGGCGAAGGCAAUCCCCUGGGCCUGUACUGACGCUCAUGAACGAAAGCGUGGGGAGCAAACAGG